rnacentral:misc_RNA from 1 species
AAGUCGUAACAAGGUUUCCGUAGGUGAACCUGCGGAAGGAUCAUUAACACGUAUCCAACGUUAAACCCCUGUGAACUUUUAUACUUGCUCUCUUAACUGACGGAAUUGCAAUCCCUGGUAAAUCAUUGUUGAACAGAUUUUGAUUCAGGGACCUCAGUUUGACAGUUAGGAUUGAGCGAUCGUUGCAAGUGGCCUGGUUUCCCCAAGCAGUCAGUGUCUGAAAGUCACUAGAGGCCGCAGUUUCCUAGGUAGUGGGGUUAAUAUAGGGGGCCGAAGCCACGGCGACCUGGUCACCGGCCGGUGUCGGCUGGGCAACAAAACGAACAACUGUUAACAAUGGAUAUCUUGGUUCUC